GCAUCCCGGGCUUGGAGGCGUAGGGCUGUGUGAAGCAGGCUCUGUCCCUGAGGCCAAGCAGAAAUGUAACAGCUAAGCAGGCAGGCUGCUGAUGUUCCCAUUGUUAGUUAAUUGUUCCCAUUCUUAGUCAAGUAAGGCUCCUUUCCCUUGCCAGGGUGGUGUAAAGAAGCCUUAUUGUAAAUGACAGUACAGGCAAGUCUCAUCUUACGCUGGGGUUACGUUCCACUGUCAGCACGUAAAGUGAAAAUUGCGUAUAGUCAAAAUUACAUUGAGUGGAAUGGCGGGCGGAGUCGCCAGCACUACAGGGUCAUUAGCUGUCCCUUGAGAGUCUUUGUAAAGGUCCAAAUUUCAAAUAAACAGAACACUAUAAGACAGAAUCAUACUAACUGCAGUGAUAAGGGCUGAGCUGAUCAAGAGAAAAGCUCCCAGACACUGGGCUCAGACAGAAUCUACACCUUGACCAAAGAGCUAUCCAAAAAGGAGGAGGAGACUGCAUAGGCAGCAUCAACCGACAGACUGUGUUAGGAGAGCAACUAUUUGCUGAAAUCUAUUACUGCAAAGUCCUAAUGGAGAAGAUUCACCUUCCUGUGACUCAGCUGUCCAGCAAAAUGAUCAACAAUAAUAAUGAGGUGACCCUCUGUCUCUAGGAACCUGAAAAUGUCCUUGUUUAUCAGGCCUGUCCAGAUGUCCCUUUUGGUAUGACACAAAAUGUCAUGUCCCAGAUUUUGCCAGGCCUGCAGACUCUGGUGCCCUGGGUGAAGCUGCUGUCUAGAGGAGCUGGUGACAUUGACAACAGGGGGUUGCCAUCUUUCCAAUUUCUGAAGACUGGACACCUCUGCUCUGCCUCCUCCACCUGUAGCCCCACCCUCUGCACCACCACCCUCCCCCAGGGUCCCACCCUCCACUCACUCUCCCCACUCCCUGCACCCAGCCCAGGGACCACAGCACUCUCCCCACCUACCAGUUACCUUUGGUUGGGGGGAGGCUCUCUCCAUAAGCCACUCACACAAGUCUGUGGAGGAGCUAGGAAUAGAAGCCAAGAGUCCUGACUUCCAGCCCUCACUGCUCUAAGCACUAGCCCCCACUCCCUUCCCAGAGCCAGGGAGAGAACCCAGGAGUCCUGAGUCCCAGCUCCCCUCUCCCAGCUCCUCCAGGCCCCCAACACGGAGGCAGGAGACCAUCCCAAACAUGCCCAGGUGUCCCCUGCCCAUCUGAGUCCGUGGAACUGGGGCAGAGGGCUGCUCACUUCCAUCUAGGGAACUUGCCCCAUUGUUUGUAGCCACCCCCACACCCUUGGCAGCCACGACCCGCUUGUGCUGGCUGGCUCCAGAAAACUUACAUGGAAA